rnacentral:rRNA from 1 species
AACGAACGCUGGCGGCAGGCCUAACACAUGCAAGUCGAACGCCGUAGCAAUACGGAGUGGCAGACGGGUGAGUAACGCGUGGGAACAUACCCCUCGGUUCGGAAUAACUCAGGGAAACUUGAGCUAAUACCGGAUACGUCCGAGGUUUUAAUCGACCUUGGAGAAAGAUUUAUCGCCGGAGGAUUGGCCCGCGUCUGAUUAGCUUGUUGGUGAGGUAAUGGCUCACCAAGGCGACGAUCAGAGCUGGUCUGAGAGGAUGAUCAGCCACAUUGGGACUGAGACACGGCCCAAACUCCUACGGGAGGCAGCAGUGGGGAAUAUUGGACAAUGGGCGAAAGCCUGAUCCAGCCAUGCCGCGUGAGUGAUGAAGGCCUUAGGGUUGUAAAGCUCUUUUACCCGGGAAGAUAAUGACGGUACGGGAGAAUAAGCCCCGGCUAACUUCGUGCCAGCAGCCGCAGUAAU